UUUCAGUUUGAACUUCGAACGAACGGGACGAACGGUUAGUAGCUCUGGCCUGUCCCUCACUGUCGCACGUUUCCAGUUCUCUGUCCUUCGUCUUUCUCCAAAGACGUACCUCCAUCUGCUGUGUGUUUCUCAUUACUGGCGGUGACGUGCUUUCUGGGAGGUUCCUGCGGCAUGCAGCACAGGGAGCAGGUGUGUGCAGUGUGUGAAAUCUGAAGACAGAAAGCAGACGUAUACCACAGCGGGGUCGUUCCACUCAGCAGACACUUGUGUGCCCGUCUCCUGCAGCCCCUCAGUAAUUGCAGGACACCCCCAGAGAUGAACCGAGAGGGUUGAGUCAUUAACAAGCCAGACAGUAAGUGGAGGCUGCAAGCUCCCCUCCAGCUUGCAGCUCGUUCCUACAAAGGUAGUCGGAGUGGACACUUGAAUUGGCCCCAGAUUGAUGAAUAAAAUUAGACUGGGUUCAAAAUGA